GAUGAAGGACGUAGCGAAAUGCGAUAAGUAAUGUGAAUUGCAGAAUUCAGUGAAUCAUCGAAUCUUUGAACGCACAUUGCGCCCUCUGGUAUUCCGGGGGGCAUGCCUGUUCGAGCGUCAUUAUAACCACUCAAGCUCUCGCUUGGUAUUGGGGUUCGCGGUUCCGCGGCCCCUAAAAUCAGUGGCGGUGCCUGUCGGCUCUACGCGUAGUAAUACUCCUCGCGAUUGAGUCCGGUAGGUCUACUUGCCAGCAACCCCCAAUUUUUACAGGUUGACCUCGGAUCAGGUAGGGAUACCCGCUGAACUUAAGCAUAUCAAUAAGCGGAGGA
rnacentral:misc_RNA from 1 species